GGGUUUGUAGCUCAGCGGUAGAUGCACCUGCCUUUUAAGCAGGGGGUCCUGGGUUCGAAUCCCAGCAAACCCA
rnacentral:tRNA from 1 species